rnacentral:rRNA from 1 species
CCUACGGGAGACAGCAGUGAGGAAUAUUGGUCAAUGGGCGGGAGCCUGAACCAGCCAAGCCGCGUGAGGGAAGAAGGUCCAGCGUAUCGUAAACCUCUUUUGUCAGGGAACAAAGGCGGGGACUAGUCCCCGGAUGAGGGUACCUGAAGACAAAGCAUCGGCUAACUCCGUGCCAGCAGCCGCGGUAAUACGGAGGAUGCGAGCGUUAUCCGGAUUUAUUGGGUUUAAGGGGUGCGCAGGCGGCCUGUUAAGUAAGCGGUAAAAGCCCGGGGCUCAACCCCGGCGAGCCGUUGAAACUGGCGGGCUGGAGUGGGAGAGAAGUACGCGGAAUGCGCGGUGUAGCGGUGAAAUGCUUAGAUAUCGCGCAGAACCCCGAUUGCGAAGGCAGCGUACCGGCUCCACACUGACGCUGAGGCACGAAAGCGUGGGGAGCGAACAGGAUUAGAUACCCCAGUAGUC